UGAGCACAAAGCGCAUCUUACAUAUUCUCCUUCUGCCCCUCUUUCUGCUCUUAAAGGAGUGUAAACCCGCCGUGACACUCGGAGCGGACUGUCCAUGUUGGGUCACCUCCUUCAGGAGUCACUUUAACUUAAAGGAUUAACUUAACCCGUCCACCACUUAAGAUCUCGCUUAAUAUUAAAGCAUCUGCCGACACCUGGAGUUGAAGAAAAUGUGCAACAGCGCCCCAUGGGGUCAGACUUUUCGGUGGGUCGCAGAAUUCGGUGUAACACCGAAUGGCCAACAGCUCCUCCUCACCUGAACUCCUCCUCUCUCUCCCCCUCACCUGAACUCCUCAUCUCUCUGUCCUACUCACCUGAACUCCUCCUCUCUCUCUCUCUCUCUCUCUCUCUCUCUCCCCUCUCCUCUCUCUCCCUCUCCCUCUCU
ensembl:lncRNA